GAUGAACGCUGGCGGCGUGCCUAAUACAUGCAAGUCGAGCGAACGGACGAGAAGCUUGCUUUUCUGAUGUUAGCGGCGGACGGGUGAGUAACACGUGGAUAACCUACCUAUAAGACUGGGAUAACUUCGGGAAACCGGAGCUAAUACCGGAUAAUAUUUUGAACCGCAUGGUUCAAAAGUGAAAGACGGUUUUGCUGUCACUUAUAGAUGGAUCCGCGCUGCAUUAGCUAGUUGGUAAGGUAACGGCUUACCAAGGCAACGAUGCAUAGCCGACCUGAGAGGGUGAUCGGCCACACUGGAACUGAGACACGGUCCAGACUCCUACGGGGGGCAGCAGUAGGGAAACUUCCGCAAAGGGCGAAAGCCUGACGGAGCAACGCCGCGUGAGUGAUGAAGGUCUUCGGAUCGUAAAACUCUGUUAUUAGGGAAGAACAUAUGUGUAAGUAACUGUGCACAUCUUGACGGUACCUAAUCAGAAAGCCACGGCUAACUACGUG
rnacentral:rRNA from 1 species